UACGUAGGGUGCGAGCGUUGUCCGGAAUUACUGGGCGUAAAGAGCUCGUAGGUGGUUUGUCGCGUCGUCUGUGAAAUUCCGGGGCUUAAUUCCGGGCGUGCAGGCGAUACGGGCAAUACUUGAGUGCUGUAGGGGAGACUGGAAUUCCUGGUGUAGCGGUGAAAUGCGCAGAUAUCAGGAGGAACACCGAUGGCGAAGGCAGGUCUCUGGGCCACUACUGACGCUGAGAAGCGAAAGCAUGGGGAGCGAACAGGAUUAGAUA
rnacentral:rRNA from 1 species